AAUCCUGGGGAUCCAGGCCGUGAGGAAUAUUUAUCCAGAAGAGCAGUGGAGCAGAAGUCUGAGAGACAGAGUAGGAAAUGGCAGCAAGGUGGGACUUUGCAGAUCUUAACCAUGGAUUAGAGAGUCCCUGAGCUGAGAGUGGGCCUGGAUUCCACUACUCGGGCAGUGGAUUUGAAGACUGCCUGGAAUGGAUUGUUCUGUGGGGCUUUGAUAACCUGGAAGUUGGGAAAACACAAAGUGACCUGGCUGGAGGGACAAGCCAUGAAAAGAAGUAGCCUGAAUUGUAGAGAGAGGCUGCUGGGUGUGUGAAUGAGUGAUAGACAGGAGUAUUAGACCUGGAAGGAGCUAAUUCCCAGAGCGGUCAGGAGGAGGUGCACUAGCGGAUCAUAGCCGAGUUUGAAGUGCAUCACAUCCGGGACCCCAAGGUUUCCUGCUAAACAGGGAGUUUCCAUGAUUUGAACUCAUCUGCCCUUCCUCUUUCGAGUGACAAGGUGAUCAAUAAUCCAGAGUGACUCUUAAAGACUAAACUAGUGGAGAUGGCAUUUGGGGGCUAUAUUAUUUAUAUUUGAGAACAAGAGACCCUUCUAAAAUCCUAUCAAAACACAGAGUGGUCAGUUGGCUAAAUUUCCUUUCAGGACUGCUUGGAAACUUACCGGUUACCUCAGCUUCUGAGGGUGCACCAUUAAAACAUGUUCUUUAUCCCCCAGAGAAUAGAUGUACCCCUGCCUCAAACUGCAAUGGCUUUAGAAUUCUAGCCAAUUCCUUUCAGUCUGUUACAUGUGUGGACUCAAGAAUGUGCACUGUAAUGAAUCCAACUCUAUAGAACACAGCGUAAUGUUCCACUUUAAGUCAAAAGUCAGUGAAAACUGACAGGCUAUAAAGUACAAUUAAAACUGAGCAUAUCAGCAAUAAGAAGCUACAAAGCAUGCAUAAUCGUGAGAUAAAUGACCUCAAUGGGCAGAUGAUGAUA